UACGGAGGAUGCGAGCGUUAUCCGGAUUUAUUGGGUUUAAAGGGUGCGUAGGCGGGCUGUUAAGUCAGCGGUCAAAUGUCGGGGCUCAACCCCGGCCUGCCGUUGAAACUGGUGGCCUCGAGUGGGUGAGAAGUAUGCGGAAUGCGUGGUGUAGCGGUGAAAUGCAUAGAUAUCACGCAGAACUCCGAUUGCGAAGGCAGCAUACCGGCGCCCGACUGACGCUGAGGCACGAAAGCGUGGGUAUCGAACAGG
rnacentral:rRNA from 1 species